GUGCCAGCCGCCGCGGUAAUACCGGCAGCCCGAGUGAUGGCCGAUAUUAUUGGGCCUAAAGCGUCCGUAGCUGGCCGAACAAGUCCGUCGGGAAAUCCACGUGCUUAACACGUGGGCGUCCGGUGGAAACUGCGUGGCUUGGGACCGGAAGGCGCGACGGGUACGUCCGGGGUAGGAGUGAAAUCCCGUAAUCCUGGACGGACCGCCGAUGGCGAAAGCACGUCGCGAAGACGGAUCCGACAGUGAGGGACGAAAGCUAGGGUCUCGAACCGGAUUAGAUACCCUUGUAGUCC
rnacentral:rRNA from 1 species